ACACCUAAUGUCACAUAAACAAUAUUUUUUGAUAUAACAACCAUAGUUGACUAUUGUAAGAAAAAGAACGCAGCUUAGGUCUUCAAAUACCUAUUCAAAAUGUACUGAUUUUUUUCAUUUUUAUAUGCAAAUUGCAAUAUAAGAUUUAGUGUUUCCUUCUAUACCUCAAAAUUAAGCAAAAUGUAGUUAGGGAGUUUAUGAGAUUAUGGGCAGUAUAUUGCAGAUCAUGGUGAUAGUGGUGCAAUAAUAUUGCCGACGCUGUGCUUCUUUGAGCAGAAUGCACAGAAAAGCAAGCCACUAUGUGCAUAUCGUGCAAAAACACACAAUUGUUGCUGUUUCCCCUCUAGGGUUUAUGCUCAUGAAAACUUAGGACUUUGUCUGAAGUUGUUGAUUAUUAAAAUCUUAAUUAAUCUGGUGUCGGGGCACUCCCAACAUCAGCAUUUAAAUCAUACACACAAUCCACAACAGCAGUAGUUGGGUGUAGUUAUUUCACAUCAACAACAACAUGUAAGUUUUACAGCAACAGCAACAACAGCAAUUACAUCACCAUCAGUCGAUUAUAGUUGGGUCGGCCAAGAACUUGAACAUUAAUCUCUAGAAGGUGGACAUUGUUGCCAUUACAAAAGCACUGUUACAGUGCAACAUAUUCGUCACUGGCAAGGACCAUCGCCGCAGUACAUAGAUGUGAAUGGUUUCAACAACAGCUAUACUAUAGCAGCAAUAAAAAGGUUCUGGUACACAACAACAACAGGAAGACAAGCACACUUUCAGUCUUUUAGCCGGCUGCAAUAACAAGCACACCCAUUACCAGCAAAAUAUUUACCACUUCAACGAGUCAACAACAAACAGUUACCUUAGUUCAAUAAACAUAAACAAAAAUACGCCUGCUUGGGCAUUGAUUUUAAUAACUCCACAGUCAAAUCAAAUAUCCAGUCUGUCGAUGGAAUAUUAAAAAAGAU